GGAUGGAUCACCUCCUUUCUAAGGAAAAAGUUAUCAUCUUCAGUUUUGAAAGACUUAAAAAAGUUUUUCAUUUUUUAAGAUUAGGGCCUAUAGCUCAGUUGGUUAGAGCACACGCCUGAUAAGCGUGAGGUCGGUGGUUCAAGUCCAUUUAGGCCCACCAAAAUAGGUCGAAUCUUAAAAAAAGCUCUUUGAAAAGUAGAUAAACAAUAAAGGUUAAAAAAUCAAAGGAACUAAGGGCGCACAGUGGAUGCCUUGGCACUAAGAGCCGAUGAAGGACGCAAUUAACGGCGAUACGCCACGGGGAACUGUAAAUAAGUGGAGAUCCGUGGAUUUCCGAAUGGGACAACCCGUUGCAUUGAAGAUGCAUCAUCCUUGAAGAAGGAAGGAAACGCAGUGAACUGAAAUAUCUAAGUAACUGCAGGAAAAGAAAGUAAUAACGAUUCUGGUAGUAGUGACGAGCGAACCCGGAAUAGCCUGAUACCAUUUCUAGUUACAAAGUUUUUGCCAAGUAGAAGCUUUUGGAAAGAAGCACCAAAGAAGGUGACAGUCCUGUAAACGUAAGCAAAGACCUAGGGUAUCAAUAAGUACGGCGAGACACGAGAAAUCUUGUUGGAAUAUGGGAGGACCAUCUCCUAAGGCUAAAUACUACUUAGUGACCGAUAGUGAACUAGUACCGUGAGGGAAAGGCGAA
rnacentral:sRNA from 1 species